GCUUUUGGCCAAAUCAUGUUAAAUGCAUUGAUUCUUGACUAAUCACCAAAGUUAAGCAAUGUCGAGCCUAGUUAGUACUUAGAUGGGUGACUGCUUGGGAAAACUGGGGGCUGUAAGCA
rnacentral:rRNA from 1 species